UCGAGCGCUGGCUGCAAGGUAGCAAUAUUUUGCAGUUGGAGCGGCGCAAGGGUGCGUAACACGUGGGUAAUCUGCCAGGAAGUCUGGAAUAACUUGCUGAAAGGCGAGCUAAUACCGGAUGUGACCAAUGGGGAGCAUUUUCCGUUGGUUAAAGUUGGGGACCGCAAGGCCUGACGCUUCCUGAUGAGCCCGCGGCCUAUCAGCUAGUUGGUGAGGUAACGGCUCACCAAGGCUAAGACGGGUAGCUGGUCUGAGAGGACGACCAGCCACACUGGAACUGAGACACGGUCCAGACACCUACGGGUGGCAGCAGUCGAGAAUUUUUCACAAUGGGGGAAACCCUGAUGGAGCGACGCCGCGUGGGGGAUGAAUGGCUUCGGCCCGUAAACCCCUGUCAUUUGCGAUCAACCGUUAGUAUUUAAAAGAUGCUGACCUGAUGGUAGCGAAAGAGGAAGGGACGGCUAACUCUGUGCCAGCAGCCGCGGUAAUACAGAGGUCCCGAGCGUUGUUCGGAUUCACUGGGCGUAAAGGGUGCGUAGGUGGUGGGGUAAGUCGGAUGUGAAAUCUCGGAGCUCAACUCCGAAACGGCAUUGGAAACUACCCUGCUUGAGGUUUGGAGGGGGGACUGGAAUUCUCGGUGUAGCAGUGAAAUGCGUAGAUAUCGAGAGGAACACCAGUGGCGAAGGCGAGUCCCUGGACAACACCUGACACUGAGGCACGAAAGCUAGGGGAGCAAACAGGCUUAGAUACCCUGGUAGUCCUAGCCGUA
rnacentral:rRNA from 1 species